ensembl:lncRNA
GGCAGACUUUAGUAUGAGACUAGAUUCUAUCUCCAGAAACAACAUUUAAGUUUUAUCCCUUAUGCAGAGUAUCCAGUGGCACAACAUUAGGAAUCCAUCAUCAUUAUAGUGGAUCACUAUCAUAUUCCAUUGAAAAUGCCUACUGGAAGUCAAGAUACAUUUGUUGCCUGUUGACCUAACCUGGAUCAUACUGCAUAAGGAUGCUACUGUUUCCAAAGCACUUUGACAUUUCAGAUAACAUAUUGGAAAAGGAGUAUAAUUUUUAAAGGAAGAGGCUUUUGUGAGAGCAUUGACAUUUAAAGGACAGCAGAGAAGAUCCUGAACAGAGACCUGAGUAUAAGCUACACAGAGAGCGGAAAAAACCUUGCGAAUCCCUGCAUGCUGUAUGAAUUUUCUAUUACAGCAUACCAAAUCUACAAACUCAGCCCGAAAACAACACACGUUUACCUCACUUUUUCUGAAGAUUUCCUAGUAAAGCUCACCACUGGUGCAACUCAGUUAAAAGCCAGGUGGCAUGGGAGUCCUGCAGACAUAGCCCACCUCUGUCAGUGUCCUGAGUCAAGAGCAGGACUGGCAAGGUUGGAAAGUGGAUGUGGAGGAGCAAGGAAGAGAGAGCUGUAUUUAGAAGAGUUUGAAUUGUUUGCAGCAUACAUUGAUGAACAACCCAGAAACUUGAGUGAUGUUUUUGGAAUACCUGUGCAUCAUAUGCACUAUGGAAUGUGCUAUGGAGCAUAAAAAUACAGUGUCCUGGUCUGAAAAGAAGGAUACAGACAAGAAAUUGAGUCUUGUUUCCUGAUUAUUCAUCUUGUGGUCUUUGGAUAAGUCAUCUCUUGUAUCUUCAGUGCCUUCAGAACUUUACACGCAUCGGGAGGAUUAGGAAUGAUGAACAGAAAGUGCCUGGCAGAAGAUAUUCACAAAGAAAAUAAGGAUCCUAAUACUAACUACAACAUUGGACUAAAAUAUUUUCAUCAGAAAUGUCCAUUAUAUCUUUUAAAGAGCUCUGUUUCAUAUAUCUGAAAAAUGUGCUUCCUUAGAAAUAUUCUGAAAAUCUGUGUCUGGAUUAAUGAUGGCUCACUGUUGAAUAAAGAAAUAGAUGUAAAUUGUUGCACCACUAAGUGAAAAAUAUCUGAAAUUCUUGCUUGCCUGUGACACCCCUGCAACUUGGACUAAUAAAUAUCCAUUUGUUUAAUCAAUAACAUUCAAAGCUAAAGCGUUUGCUGAAAUCUAGAUUCAUAUACUCCAAACUGGGAGUAAGUACAAUUUUCACACCUUAAAUUUAAAUAUUGAGGAAGAAAUCAUUUCAGAAUUGUGAAGAAACUCCUAAGGAUGGGGAAAGGGCUCCUGGAUCUGAAUAGCACCACAGAAACUGUUCUGGAGUGGAUCGGAUCAUAGCAAAGCUUCCACAUGCCACUUUUAACAUGGAGAAGUGGCAUUUCCAGGAUCAUUCUGUGACCAGGACUUGAGUCUUCAGAUAUUAAAGAAGUCAACACCAUUGGAGAUUAAAGAUAAACAUUUAAAAUGACUGUGGUGGCAUAGAAAGAUUAUUUCCAUCUGCAUGAUAUUUAUGGAAUAUAAUAAUGGAGAGAAUUUCU